AUGAAUGUGGUGGGCGGGGGAGGGAAGGAAUGGAUGUGUGAUGGGUGCAGGUGGAAAUGAAUGAAUGAAUGUGUGGCAGGCGUGGGUAGGAAUGAAUGAAUGUCCACAUGGGGCAGCCCUGCCCUGCCCACCUCGCCCUGGCCGAGGAUCCCUGCCCUGUGCGGGGCCCUCACUUUCUGGUGUGUAAACCUGGUCAGCCUGGACCUGAGAAGCCCCGGAAGUUUCCUCAGCAACCCCUUGUCCCUGCCUGGCCUUUAAGCUCCUUGGUUUGCCGUCGGGGAGCCAGCGCCAGCCGCCUACGCCCGCCUCUCCCCGCACAUAGAGAAGCACGUCCCCGCGUCCCUGUCCAGCUGGUCCCUGAGGACAGCAUCAGGCGCAGCCCUUCACUCGGGUGUGGCUGAGGAUGGCGCCGCCAGGAGAUGACUCACCCCAUCAAAUGUGCGGCAUUUGUCAUUUUUCUCACCAGUUGCUAUUUUUAAAACUCUGUCCUUUGGUUUCUGUAGUAAUUUUGAGCCUCUUUUUAAUAGAACUUCCAAUGCUUUUGUGAAUCUUACACUCGUUGAAAAUGAUGGGGUUAAAAAUGUUUGUUAAACCCAAAACUAAAUGCAGACCGACUUCCAGAGCAGACGUCAGGUGCAGGGCCUGGGGUCUGUUGGUGGUUUGCCUGCCUGCCAGGGCCGCCUGUGGUGGGAACAGGGUCACUGCCCUACGGCCAGGACAGACAACUGUGUGCACUGCCCUGGCCAGCACCCAGCGCCCUCUCCCACCCCUGCUCUCCCCAGAACCUGGGCCUGACAGGAACAGGGCGCCGACUAAGAUAUUUUGCAGCAUGGGGCUCCACAGAGAGCCUGGGACCUAGGUUCCCACUGACAGGAGAAGGGGAAUUGGGGUCUUGGAGCGAGGACAGGCUGCUUGUGCUCUGCCCCGGCACCUGGCUCGGUCUAUGGUGCAGACGCCUCUGCCAGUGUGCAGGCUCUGAACCCCGUGUUCACAGCCGCCCUUCUGGAAUGCCAAGGCGCUGCCUAUCAGAUGCCUGGCCGGCUGGAGCCCCACAGUGCUGGGACGCUGGAGUUUGGUGAGCCCCUCAGUGUACCAGGUGCCAGCCCCUUUACUUCACGAUUCUCACAGCAGUCCUGUGGCAGUGACAUAAUUCUCAUCACAUCACAUGAUUUAUUGGGGUUUCCUCAGGACAGAGGGUGGGGAGCAGGACCGGGUGGGUGAAGGGGCUGAGCAGGGAGGUGACCUCAGCUCGAGUUGCACCGUGGUCUGGUCCCCCACAGGUGCUCCGGAGUGGGAGCUGCACCCUGGGGUGGGCCUGCCCUGAGGCCAGGGGACGCCUUCUGUGCCUCCACGUGGUCAGUCACUGGCGAGGCCUUCACUGGUGGGAGGACAGCUCCCCAGGAGCAGCAGCUCCCUGUGGCCAGACUCAGCUAUCUGGGGAAUGGAGUGGCUGCAAGCUGUCAGACCUCACUCCCAGGAGCUGGCGACGGUGCAGCCGCCAGUGCUGGGGACCAGGUGGGGACCCCCGGUGUCUAUGCCAUCAUGUAGACAAAAUGCUGAUUCAAAUUUGAAAAACACGUUUUCCAUGAUAAAAAUGCACAUGCUUUGCUACGGGCUGUUUCUGUCCCCCAAGCUCAGAUGUUGAAAUCCUAGUCCCCAGGCUGAUGAUGCUAGGAGGAGGGGAGGUGAAUACUCGUCCCCAGGCUGAUGAUACUAGGAGGAGGGGAGGUGAAUCCUCAUCCUCAGGCUGGUGAUACUAGGAGGAGGGGAGGUGAAUCCUCAUCCCCAGGCUGAUGAUACUAGGAGGAGGGGAGGUGAAUACUCGUCCCCAGGCUGGUGAUGCUAGGAGGAGGGAAGGUGAAUCCUCGUCCUCAGGCUGGUGAUACUAGGAGGAGGGGAGGUGAAUCCUCAUCCCCAGGCUGGUGAUACUAGGAGGAGGGGAGGUGAAACCUCAUCCCCAGGCUGAUGAUGCUAGGACAAGGGGAGGUGAUUAGGUCAUGAAUGGAAUUAGUUUCCUUAUGAAAGAGGCCAGGGAGAGACCCCUCACCCCCUCUGCCACAUGCCACCCAGCAAAAAGACAGACGGCUGUCCAAUGGGGAGGUGGCUUCACCAGACACCAAAUCUGCAGGCACCUUAAUCUUGGACUUCCAGCCUCCAGAACUGAGAGAAAUAGAUUCCUGUUGUUUAUAAGCCACCCAGUCUAUGGUAUUUUGUUACAGAAAGCUGAACGGAGUGAGACAUGCCCUGUAGAAAAUGAAGAAUCUGCAGAAAAUUAUAAGAAAGAAGGAAAAGCAAAAUGGCACAGACCCUCCACUUAGGAAUCGUUGACUCCAGCAGACAUUAGCACAGCCUUUUACUCUCUCCAUAUGUUUCACACUCAGCUGCGUACUACGGAGGCCGUUGUGCAUAUGGCGACUGUAAGGCAUCAUUGGGAAUAUCAUGAGGUGACAUGACGUAGAGUUUGACGAAUGGGGUGACAGACCCUAUCUGUCACCGGGAGGCUUAUUGGUCUUCUGGUGCAGAAACAAGCCCCUGACUCAUGUCAUUAAAUGUAAGUUACGGCCACAAGCAUGUGGAAAAUCAUCGCUCAAGCACCUUGGCAAUAACAGUGGCAUGGUGUGGCUUCACGAGUCUUUUUAAGGGGAAAAAGAAGUGUUUCGUUCAGUAAUUGCUCCUGGAUGGGGGCCCAGCCUGCAACAGCUUGGCAUGUGGAAGGCUCUGGUGCCAGGUACAAUGCUGAAGAAUCAGAUGCGGAAAGAGAGUCUCUCUGAACCGCAAAGCCAAAUAUUAGGUUGAACCCUAUAGAAUUUUAACCUACAAAAUGGACAAUUUAAUAUCGUUUCACUGAUUGGUCCAAAGCACAUUUUGUAGAAUCAAGGAAGGAACCAAGCCCAAGAAAAGCAGGGCGGGGAAGUCAUGGGGGCAGAACUCCCCACCACACCCCAUCCUUCUUGCCCCUACCCUGCACCAGCGAUGGCCUGAUUCUUGAGUCUGGGGUCCCAGUAACUUCCCUAGUCUUGAAUUCUUAGCUUUGAUUCAUCCCUCAGGGUUUGGGGCUCAUGUUCAAGUCAGCUUUUCAAAGUUGUUCCUGAGGAUAGCAUUGUCUGCCCAUUGAUUUGAGAAGGCCCUUCUGCGACCUUCAGGAACGGGAAAGGUGGCCUGGCACCAACAUGUUCCUUCCGGGCGUGGAGGCCAGGGUGCUGCUGCAUCACCGGGCUCACAAACUCAGCCGGAGCUGCGUGAGGCCUGGUCCUCUGAAGUGCACUUCUUCAAGUUACUGGGAACUUGGUUUGUCCCCAAACCACCCCCGACCCCGCCCGCCUCCGCAGCUCAGGAAAGUUCAGCGCUUCCUCCUCCUCCUCACCUGCUCCCCACCCUGCCUCUCUUUCCUCUGGGGAGCACCUGCUGCCCAGCUCCCUGCCCCUUCCUGCCAUGCCCGGGCUCCCUCCUUCCCCGCUUCAUUCUCCGCGUCACAUAUUUUGUCUUCUUCAGCAUCAGUUCUGUAUGUUUCUGUUCCCAGGCAGUUUUGAUCCACGCGUGGUUUUAUUUCGUUGCCAUCAUUCCAUUCUCCAGUUCCCGCUGUCUUUCUCAUCAGCCUGGCUUGCCCAUGGUGGGCAUGCGACAGUUGCUAAAAAUACCCUUCGGGCGGGCGGCUGGAGAAAUCAUUUUCAUGGGGCACCCUCCCUCCCAGCCUUAUGAGAUGCGGUUGUGUUUGAUUCGUCCUGCCGCAAUUUUCCAAGGCCCCGGUUGCUGGGCUUCCUCUUCCUCAUCCUCAGCCCUGUUUCCCGACCCACUGAAUGGAUGAAGUGUCAGACAAAACGCCUGCUGUAUACCCAGUGUGAACAGGGCCGUGGUCCAGGGCAGGAUGCUGCCUUCUGAAUGCAGGGCUCACCUCCAGCUCAACUGUCCCCACUCCCGGUGGGUUUUGAAGACUGAUGAGUGGGAAGAGAAGGCAGUGUCAGUGCAUAGGAGGCAGACCCCGUCUUCUGGUGGGGAAAAAAGCAUUUUUCUAUUUUGGGACGUGAGAGAGGAGAUGAAGCACCUCCUUCCCUGUGUUCAUCCUGGCGGGCUGGCUUCAUCUCUCUACCUCACUGCGUUUGGAAUCACUUUGUAGGCGACACACACUCAUACCUGUCCUAGCUUCCAAUGCUCUGUGAGCCUUGUUCUCUUAUAAGCCCUGAGAUGGGGAACCGUGGACCAGGGGCUGUUUUAAAGCAACAGUCCCACGAUUGUUCCAAUUUUUCCCACACAUGAGACUCUGCACCUCUCAUUUAAAAUGUCAGUUUUUGAGGGGCGGAAGUGACGCCUCACAUUUUCUCUGCACCCCCGUCAAGUCUGAAAUCGUGCCGGAUGCAGAGGAGACACUCAGCUCAGAGUGGCUGCUCUGGUUUAGGGCUGAGGGCUCAGAAGCUCCUGGGUUUAGAGUCAGCAGAGGAAUCUGUGCUGUGAGAAGUCGACGCAUCUCGGUCAGCGUGGGUGGCACAGUGCACGCCUGAUCGCGUGUUCUUUUGUUUUAAAAUUCUACCGCACUGUCAUAAAACACUUCCUGCAUCGAGGCGGAGCUCACCUCCAUCAGGCUGCAGUUUCCUCAUCUGUAAAAUGGGAGUAAUAUACCCACUGUUAUGGGCGUUUUUGGGGGGAUCUUGAGGACUGAGUCAGGUGAUGCUGGGGAAUGGAGUGCCCAGGGCCUGGCCCCUCGGGAGCUGGGGUUUGUUCAUUUGUUUCCUUUGUUAGGUGGGAAGGCAGCGUGGACCUGCCUGGCUCCCAGGGGCACCUGCUUUCCAAGGCGUGGAUGCUCUGGGAUGAGGCCUCCUCCCACUCUGCCCAUUCUGUCUGUGACACUGGCCCUCUGGGUUUGCUUUCAGGUCCCCAGAUGUGCAGCUUCUGUCUCCUCUGGGCUUUUGGAUGUGGUUUUUGCCAGAGUGGCCCCUUACUCCGACCUGGGACUGGCACUCACUCCUUCCUGGGAGCCCGCCCCGCUCUUGGUUCCUCUUCUGUGCCCUCCCAGGACACCCUCACUCUUUGCUGCUCUCUCUCCCCUCUGGGCAUCCUAAUUGCCACUUUCCAGGCUGCCUCUCCCCUCAGACCAUAAGUCUCGAAAGCAGGGACAGCGUCUCUCAUUCACAGUACGGGCGGGUGACGAUGGAUGCAUUCUUAAAAAUGUAAUUGAUAACAUGACAUAAAACUUAGCAUUUUAACCAUUUCACAUGCACAGUUCGGUGUCACUAAGCACAUUCACAAUGCUGCGCAGCCCUCAGUACCCUCCACCCGUGGAGCCUUUCUUCUCAGACUGAAGCCCUGUCCCCUUUAAACGCCAACCGCUCCCCUUCCCGCAGCCCCUGGCACCUGCCCUUCUCUCUGUCUCUAUGAGUUUGACUCUAGGGACCUCGUACGAUAGACUCCUACAGGAUUUGUCCUUUUGUGACCGGCUUAUUCCACUGAGCACAACGCCCUCAAGGUGCUCCCUGUCAUGGUGUGCCGGCCGUUCCUUCCAUUUUAAGGUUGAAUACUGUAACAAAUAUAUUUCACAUAGAGCAAAUGUUUGCACGUAGCUCCUCUGAGAUGGGGUCCCGUGGUUUCUGUUUGGACCUUUCCAGGGACAAGGAACUCCCACAUGGGGUGGCCACUUCCUUACGGGGCAGGUCUGAUAGCUAGACUGUUACUUAUUUGUACAGAGCUGGUCCUGGCUCUGCACUCCGGCAUCCCUGCGUGCAGACAGGGAGAGGUCUGGCAUCUGCUGCUGUAUGGCCGGCGUCUCUCACAUGGCCUCAGACCCCAGGAGCUCUGGAAGUGGCCUCUUUCUGCCUCCAAGAUGGAUGGAAGACGUGGCUCGGCCCGGCCUCACCUUCUGACCUGUCCCCUCUGCCAGCCCACCCAACCCAAAUGCUCUGAAGGAACUGUACUCGGUAGCCCUCCAUGGGGAGCCGCCCAGCACAUUGUGGAGGGGCCUGGAGUGCUGGGGCUGCCUUUCCUGGCAGUGCCAGCAGCCAGCAGUUUUUUUUUAUCUCAAAGCAGAGGUGUGUGGUGUUUUCCUGCUGCCCACCUUUCCAGGUGGAGAAAGAAAUGGGUCCUGGCUCCAGGAAGGGGGGAAACCAUGUCCCUGUACCGUGCCUCAGUUUCCCCAUCUGUACACUGUGGAAUGGCAGUGCGUGGGCAGGGCAGGCAGAGGGGCCGCCCCACAGUGCCAGCCUGUGUGCACCAGCUCUGUUGUCACGGCUGCCCAGCGCCCGGAGCUUAGUGAGGUUAGAGCUUUUCAUCGUUCUCCUUCCCCUACAAACCUACAAACUCAAAAGUUAAUAUAGUAGCGUGUCUUUGCUCUUUUAAACCAAUGACGUAAGUCACUUCACCAGUUUGCUUUACACCGGUUAAUCAAUUACUGAACAGUUGCAGUAUCCUCCUCUCUUUUGCUGUUAGCUGGUGCUAACUGAAGUAAAAGCGAGUGUCAUCUCUCCGGCCCUCACCGCUGCCUUCACCACCAUUUACCCACGCGGAUGUUGAGCUUCCCGCCAGGGCUCAGGGAGCUCACAGUGGGAAGCAGAGGGCUUGAGAAGGGGUGGCUCUGCCUGACACUCCCCGGCUCCCAGCUGGGCCCACUUCCAGGUAGUGGGUUGGGGCAGGACCCGCAGGGCACAGUGCUUCCCCUGCCCUUCCCCACGGGGUUGGAGGCUCUGGAGGCAGCACCCUCCCUGGGGAAUCCUGGGGAUUCAGGAACAUCCCGAAGGUGCUCAUUUUCAUCCGUGGUUAAAUGCUGAGUUUGUCUUGGCUGCUGGGUUGAGCCCUGGAGCCACAUCCUGGCCGGAGCAGCUCUCCCGUCUAUAGGUCCUGGCCCACCUUGCCCCUUGUGCUUCUGCACUGGCGCCCCUUGUGCUUCUGCACUGGCACCCCUUGAGAGGGCAGCUUGGGCAAAAGAAAGGCUUGCUUUUGAGUAAAUUGGUGGCAGACCCCUCUCAGCGAACUUCAGCCCACUUGCUUUUGGAAAAUGACUCUGCGUGUUAUUAUGUUUUGCAAGACAUCAAAGGAUGUGGAAAAUCCAUUAUAAAUACCAGGGUAUGUUGCUCGCCCGAAGGGCCAGGGUUACUGAGGUGGGGGCGGGGGUGGAGCCUUGGGUUUCCAUUCAGUUCCUUCUGCUCUCCUUCCCCUCCGUGGCCCCAAGCAGGGACCUCUCCUCCCUGGGGCUUGACCCAGUGGCUGGAGGGAGGGAGGGGCCUGUCUGAAUUCACCCUCUGCACUGCUGCACCUGGAGCUGCUGCUGCGCCCAGGGUUCUUGGGUGCACCGGUAAAGGCGAGCAGCUGGUGGGUCAGAGGGAGGAGGCAAAGGGAAAUGAAAUGCUCCAAGCCCUCUCAAGGCAGAGAUUGGCAUCUUCCAGCAUUGAAGAGGCACUGUUGGGCGGGUGAGGCCUUCGGGAGGAAACAAACGCGGUACGCCAGGGAGUGGGGGCUGUCGGCUGCCGGGAACAAGGCUGCAUGGUGUGUGCGUGUGUGUGCAUGUGUGCGUGUGUGUGCAUGUGUGUGCUUGUACGCGUGUGCGUGUGUGCAUGUGUGUGCUUAUGUGCAUGUGCGUGUGUGCACUUGUGUGCUUGUGCUUGAGUGCGUGUGCACUCACUGCAGGUCAUGGGGGCAGACCUGGGAGGGGGAGUCUGGGCUCCAGGGCCAGCUCUGUGACUUUUAGUCAACAGCUCCUCCUCUUUAAGCCUCAGUUUCCCCUCUGUGCACAGAGGCCCUGGGCUGCAGCCCUGAGCACUGCCCUCUCCCGUGGGCUCCCCAGGUGUGUAGAACAGUUUGCAGAGUGCUGGCCUGGGUCCCAGGGCCCGUCUGUCUCCCGCUUGUUGGUAAGAAUCCCUGAAGAAUUCUGUGCAGAAUCCCUCGUUUCCUCCAGCAGGUAUCUGACAGGCACCACAACCUGAGCAUGUGUAGAUGGACGCUGGUUUCUUCUGCUCUCUGCCUCAUCUCAGGUCCGGCCCUGCCACCUGUCCAGGGGCUUAGCCCAGAACCCCAGAAUCUGCUUUGAUGCCCCCGGGUCUGCAGGCAGACUUUGCUCUCGAAGGCACCUGAGUCUCACCUCCUUGGCCGUCAGCUUGGCACAAGUUACCCUGGCUGCUCCCCAGACUGUUCCCAUGGCCUGGCCCUGGCCGGGGACUCCCACUCUGCUUGCGGUCCUGAAGACAGCCAGAGAGGCCUUUGAGAGUGGAAGGCAGACACCAUAUGCCACCGCCCCCAGCUGACACUCAUAGGGGCUGCCCCUCAUGCUCUGGAUAAAACUCCGACUGGCUACUGUGCCUCUUUGGGUCUCCCCGGCCCAGGCCUGGCCAGGGGUUCCAGCCUUCACCAGGGGAAGGAGCAUCUGUGAGUCCAGGGAGUGUGCCUGGCCCAAUGCCUCUGCCCAGGGCCUUUGUGCCUGCCGUCCCCUCCCCAAUUCCACGCCUCCUGUUGCCCUCCGCAGAGGCACCUCUCCCGUGACCUCCAAGCACACCACCCACUAAAUCUCCGCCCUUCCUCUGCCUGCCUGCCCUCCCAGCACAGCCACUCUGUCCGCUCAGGCUCCUGAGCUGCUUACUUGUUCACCUGUCUUCUGCUGGAGACCAGGGAGCCCUCCCCUCGCUGGCUGUGGGGUCUGGGAACAAAGCAGUCUUAAUAAAUACUUCUCGAAAGAA